GACGAACGCUGGCGGCGUGCCUAAUACAUGCAAGUAGAACGCUGAAGGAGGAGUUUGCUUCUCUGGUUGAGUUGCGAACGGGUGAGUAACGCGUAGGUAACCUGCCUUGUAGCGGGGGAUAACUAUUGGAAACGAUAGCUAAUACCGCAUAAUAGUAGCUGUUGCAUGACAUUUGCUUAAAAGGUGCAAUUGCAUCACUACCAGAUGGACCUGCGGUGUAUUAGCUAGUUGGUGAGGUAAAGGCUCACCAAGGCGAGGAUACAUAGCCGACCUGAGAGGGGGAGCGGCCAGACUGGGACGGAGACACGGCACAGAGGCCUACGGGAGGCAGCAGGAGGGAAACUGCGGCAAGGGACGGAAGUCUGAGCGAGCAACGCCGCGGGAGGGAAGAAGGAUGUCGGAUCGUAAAGCACGGUUGUAAGAGAAGAACGAGUGUGAGAGUGGAAAGUACACACUGUGACGGUAACUGACCAGAAAGGGACGGCUAACUACGUG
rnacentral:rRNA from 1 species